ACUCUUUCUCGGCCUUUUGGCUAAGAUCAAGUGUAGUAUCUGUUCUUAUCAGUUUAAUAUCUGAUAUGUCCUCUAUUUGAGGACUAUAUAUUAAAUGGAAUUUUGGAGUUGGGUUUUUUUGAAAGUGUGCGAAACUGCAACAUUUUCCCCAUCUUGCAAUUCCCC
rnacentral:snRNA from 1 species